CCAAUAGCGUAUAUUAAAGUUGUUGCAGUUAAAAAGCUCGUAGUUGAAUUUCGGGAUCAAUAUGUUGGUCGUGCCUUGGUACGUACUGGCAUCAUUGGUUUCUACCUUCUGAAGAACCUCGAUGUCAUUAAUUUGGUGUCUUGGGGAAUCAGGACUGUUACAUUGAAAAAAUUAGAGUGUUUAAAGCAGGCUCGCGCUUGAAUACAUUAGCAUGGAAUAAUGAGAUAGGACGUUUGAUUCUAUUUUGUUGGUUUCUAGGAUUGACGUAAUGAUGAAUAGGGUUAGUUGGGGGCAUUAGUAUUCAAUUGUCAGAGGUGAAAUUCUUGGAUUUAUUGAAGACUAACUACUGCGAAAGCAUUUGCCAAGGAUGUUUUCAUUAAUCAAGAACGAAAGUUAGGGGAUCGAAGACGAUCAGAUACCGUCGUAGUCUUAACCAUAAACUAUGCCGACUAGGGAUCGGAUGAUGUUAAUUUUUUAAUGACUCAUUCGGCGCCUUACG
rnacentral:rRNA from 1 species